rnacentral:rRNA from 1 species
UACGUAGGGUGCGAGCGUUGUCCGGAAUUACUGGGCGUAAAGCGUGCGCAGGCGGUUUUGUAAGUCUGUCGUGAAAUCCCCGGGCUCAACCUGGGAAUUGCGAUGGAGACUGCAGGGCUAGAAUCUGGCAGAGGGGGGUAGAAUUCCACGUGUAGCAGUGAAAUGCGUAGAGAUGUGGAGGAACACCGAUGGCGAAGACAGCCCCCUGGGUCAAGAUUGACGCUCAUGCACGAAAGCGUGGGGAGCAAACAGG